GAAUUUUGGGCAAUGGGCGAAAGCCUGACCCAGCAACGCCGCGUGAAGGAGGAAAUCCCUCGGGAUGUAAACUUCACAAGUAAGGGAAGAGCGCGCAUUUCCUAAUACGAAAUGCGCCCGACGGUACCUUACGUAAGCCACGGCUAACUACUUGCCAGCAGCCGCGGUAAUACGUAGGUGGCAAGCGUUGUUCGGAAUUACUGGGCGUAAAGGGCGCGUAGGCGGUUUGUUAAGUCAGUUGUGAAAGCCCGGGGCUCAACUCCGGAGGGUCGACUGAUACUGGCGAACUAGAGUACGGAAGAGGUAGCUGGAAUUCCUGGUGUAGCGGUGAAAUGCGUAGAUAUCAGGAGGAACACCUGAGGCGAAGGCGGGCUACUGGGCCGAUACUGACGCUGAGGCGCGAAAGCCAGGGGAGCGAACGGG
rnacentral:rRNA from 1 species